rnacentral:rRNA from 1 species
UACGAAGGGUCCAAGCGUUAUCCGGAUUUAUUGGGUUUAAAGGGUGCGUAGGCGGCUUAUUAAGUCAGUGGUGAAAGACUUCAGCUUAACUGAAGAACUGCCAUUGAUACUGAUGAGCUUGAGUACAGUUGAGGUGGGCGGAAUGUGUCAUGUAGCGGUGAAAUGCUUAGAUAUGACACAGAACACCGAUUGCGAAGGCAGCUCGCUAAACUGUGACUGACGCUGAGGCACGAAAGCGUGGGGAGCGAACAGG